UACGUAGGGUGCAAGCGUUGUCCGGAAUUAUUGGGCGUAAAGAGCUCGUAGGCGGCCUGUCGCGUCGGCUGUGAAAACCCGGGGCUCAACCCCGGGCCUGCAGUCGAUACGGGCAGGCUAGAGUCCGGUAGGGGAGACUGGAAUUCCUGGUGUAGCGGUGAAAUGCGCAGAUAUCAGGAGGAACACCGGUGGCGAAGGCGGUUCUCUGGGCAUUACCUGACGCUGAGGCACGAAAGCGUGGGGAGCAAACAGG
rnacentral:rRNA from 1 species